CAAAGGCUUGGUCCUGACUUUAGUAUCAACUUUAGCUAUACUUACACAUGCAAGUAUCCGCGCCCCUGUGAGAAUGCCCCCCCAGUUCCCCGUCCGGGAACAAGGAGCUGGUAUCAGGCACAUUUUGAAGCCCACGACACCUUGCUUAGCCACACCCCCAAGGGAAUUCAGCAGUGACAAACAUUAAGCUAUAAGUGAAAACUUGACUUAGUUAAAGCUAAGAGGGCCGGUAAAACUCGUGCCAGCCACCGCGGUUAUACGAGAGGCCCAAGUUGAUAAACAUCGGCGUAAAGAGUGGUUAAGCUAAAAUUAAAACUAAAGCCGAACGCCCCCAAAGCUGUUAUACGCACCCGGGAGUAAGAAGUUCAACCACGAAGGUGGCUUUAUUAAACCUGAACCCACGAAAGCUACGGCACAAACUGGGAUUAGAUACCCCACUAUGCCUAGCCCUAAACAUUGAUAGAAUUUUACAACCUCUAUCCGCCCGGGGACUACAAGCAUCAGCUUGAAACCCAAAGGACUUGGCGGUGCUUUAGAUCCACCUAGAGGAGCCUGUUCUAGAACCGAUACCCCCGUUCAACCUCACCCCUCUUUGUUAAUACCGCCAAUAUACCACCGUCGUCAGCUUACCCUGUGAGGGACCAAUAGUAAGCUUAACUGGUACAACCCUAAACGUCAGGUCGAGGUGUAGCGAAGGGAGGGGGAAGAAAUGGGCUACAUUCGCUACAGCAGCGAAAACGAAUGGUGUCCUGAAACGCACAUCUAAAGGAGGAUUUAGCAGUAAGUAGAAAAUAGAGUGUUCUACUGAAAUUGGCCCUGAAGCGCGCACACAUCGCCCGUCACUCUCCCCAAGCCUAAUGAUACAAUUAACUAAAAACUAAUAACUGCAAAGGGGAGGCAAGUCGUAACAUAGUAAGUGUACCGGAAGGUGCACUUGGCAAAG
rnacentral:ncRNA from 1 species